UGGGGGAUAUUGCACAAUGGGCGAAAGCCUGAUGCAGCGACGCCGCGUGGGGGAUGAAGGCCUUCGGGUUGUAAACUUCUUUUGCUCUGAACAAGGCGCACCAUGGGGUGUGUUGAGUGUAGGGGUUGAUUAGCGCCGGCUAACUACGUGCCAGCAGCCGCGGUAAUACGUAGGGCGCGAGCGUUGUCCGGAAUUAUUGGGCGUAAAGGGCUUGUAGGUGGCUGGUUGCGUCUGUCGUGAAAGCUCAUGGCUUAACUGUGGGGUUGCGGUGGGUACGGGCUGGCUUGAGUGCAGUAGGGGAGGCUGGAAUUCCUGGUGUAGCGGUGGAAUGCGCAGAUAUCAGGAGGAGUACCGGUGGCGAAGGCGGGUCUCUGGGCUGUUACUGACACUGAGGAGCGAAAGCAUGGGGAGCGAACAGG
rnacentral:rRNA from 1 species